CCCGCUGAACUUAAGCAUAUCAAUAAGCGGAGGAAAAGAAACUAACAAGGAUUCCCCUAGUAACUGCGAGUGAAGCGGGAAAAGCUCAAAUUUAAAAUCUGGUGGUCUUUGGCCAUCCGAGUUGUAAUUUAGAGAAGCGUCUUCCGCGCUGGACCAUGCAUAAGUCUCCUGGAAUGGAGCGUCAUAGAGGGUGAGAAUCCCGUCUUUGGCAUGGACCCCCAGGGCUUCUGUGAUGCGCUCUCAAAGAGUCGAGUUGUUUGGGAAUGCAGCUCAAAAUGGGUGGUGAACUCCAUCUAAAGCUAAAUAUAGGCGAGAGACCGAUAGCGAACAAGUACCGUGAGGGAAAGAUGAAAAGAACUUUGGAAAGAGAGUUAAACAGUACGUGAAAUUGCUGAAAGGGAAACGCUUGAUGUCAGUCGCGUCGGCCGGGGGUCAACCUUGCUUUUUUCGCUGGGUGUACUUCCUGGUCGACGGGUCAGCAUCAGUUUCGGUCGCCGUACAAGGGCGGAGGGAACGUGGCACUCUUCGGAGUGUGUUAUAGCCUUUCGUCGCAUGCGGUGGCUCGGGACUGAGGAACUCAGCACGGCUUCUAGUUUGUGCUCAGGAUGCUGGCAUAAUGGCCUUAAGCGACCCGUCUUGAAACACGG
rnacentral:rRNA from 1 species